rnacentral:misc_RNA from 1 species
UGGUGGCCUGGGAGGCCUGCGG